rnacentral:rRNA from 1 species
AGCGUAGGCGGGAGCUCAAGUUGGGUGUUUAAUUCCGGGGCCCAACCCCGGGCGUGCACUCAAAACUGGGUUUCUUGAAUAGGGGAGAGGUCGAUGGAAUUGGAGGUGUAGCGGUGGAAUGCGUAGAGAUCUCCAAGAACACCGGUUGCGAAGGCGGUCGACUGGACCCAUAUUGACGCUGAGGCUCGAAAGCGUGGGGAGCAAACAAG